AGGGGCGAUUUGCUCCUGAUAAACAGGCUGGGGUGUCCUUUCCUGAGCAGAGGGGCUGGGGGACCACCACGGCACUCUUUGAUACGGUCAUGGCCUCCCUGGGACUGUAGUGGCCCCGGCUGGGGGAGGAACUCUGGGUCCUGUGGUCCCAGCUGUUGAGCUCCAGAUCAUGCUGGGAAAACGAAAUCGACAAAGAGGAGCAGGUUCUGGGCCUGUCACCCAGAUUAACGAGGGGCCUCGCCAGCAUGACGUACGUAGCACGAGCGAGAGAACUUGGAUGCUCAGCCCAGAGAAAAGAUGCAGGGAACAUGUCAGCUGUCACAAGAGGAAGGAUAACUUGGCUCAGUGUGCCCUACCAAGGGCAGGUGAUCCGUGGGGGAGACAAAACCAAUCAACAACGAGUAAGAUGGAAAGUCUCCAUGCCCUGGAAGAAGGGAUGAGCUGCUCAGGAUGCUGAUGGGCUCCAGAACUUCCUAAAAGGAUUUCAGAUGCGGGAAGGAUAGUGAGGAGGAAUUUAAACAUCCCAACUGGUACCAAGCACCCCACAGCAUGGCAGUGCAGGAGAAGGGACCAGAAGGCGAGGGACUUCUGCAGUGUCAGCUCCCUGAGCUAUGACUGACGACGUGAGCCUGCAGUCUCCACAGGGCCUGCCCCACGCAGAGCCAGGGAGGUUCCAGUGAAGCGAGCAGAUUGAAGGCUGAAGAUCUGGGGUCCCCAUCCCUGGCUGGGUCCUGCUCCUUCCCAGCAUGUGAGUCGUCUUCUAGUUGAGGCUUGUGGCUGGGGAUUGGGACCACUAAACAAGGUGUUUUGCCAAAGAAAGAAUUCCGUGUGUGGAUACAUCUGGGGAAUUAGACCCACUCGAUUAGCCCUUACUCUCAAGCCGUACAAGCCAACUCACCUAAUUUAAAUUUAGAAAGGAACUAUUCUAAGGGCCCAGAGUAGCUCAGAUAAUCUCCUGGAGAGUCAAGAAAUUAAGGUCAGAAACAAAAUAGCCAAGAGCAACACCCAAAGUCACACUGUAAGACUUGUCCCUGGGAGACCCUAUGUCUGCACAGAUACUUUGACUUGGGCUACCAGCUCUGCCUGCCCUGGAGGCCCCUCUAAAAUGACUGCCAAAAUAUCCUCUGGAUACAUACUGUCACUGCUGUCACCCCUACCCUUGCCUCUGUGCAGUGGGCUUUGCAGAGAACCUGCCUCUUCAUAUUGGGUUCAAACCCUGAGUCUGGAGUGAGGUCAUGGACCCGUCUCCUUAGCUGCAAGAGAGGCGGGAACAAGAAGAUUGUUUUUAGCUUCUUCACUUUACCUCAAGCACAGGAGGGAAGAACAGGUCCCAGGUGAGUGAAAAGAAUGAUCAUGUUAUCUACACUGUGGCCCUAGACCCUCUCCCUUGGGAGUUCACAAAGUUCUAGAACAAGGAAGUCUGUCUCAGCACUGUUGAUGUUCUGGGGGACACUAUCUUGGUGGGCUAUCCUGGAUGCCAUAGGACAUUUAGCAGCAUGCAGGCCUCUACCCACUGUACCCAAUACUGUAGCAUUCUGCCAGUUGUGAAAGCUAACAAUGUCUAAAUUCAUUACCAAAUGUCCCCAGGGGGACACAUUCAUCUUUGGUUGAGACUCAUCAUCUGGAGAUCUUCAGGAAAAUUUGCAAUACAUUUCAGGGACCAGUAUUGGUUUAACCUACUUCCCCAAACUGAUUUGACCAUGGGAAGUAUUUUUCUCUAACUGAAGCCUCCCUGAUUUUGUUUCACAAAAUUUAUUUUGGGAAACACUGGGCUGGUAACUGGGGACGUGGCUCUAGGAGUUCUGUGGUGUGGUAGGAGACUGCACAUGUUUCAGCAGCUCCUGUCAUCACUUUCCCCACAUUCCUGAACAGUCUGGAAUCUCCUGGACGACCAGCUUUGUGAAGACCCAGAUUCUAGGGAGUUGGUUAUGAUUCUGGGAAACAUUCCCAGGGUCCAGAGGAGGACCCCAUAGAAUUUCAUUUAGAUUGAAGGGACAUCCUUUUCCUCUUGAGUGUAAACUUGCCCUGCAGGCAGAGUUAGUACCCUAACAAACAGGAACAGAGCCUUGGGAAAAGCCUCCUGCCAUGGCUGUCCACUGUGACCUUCUGCAUGAUUUGGCAAAGACCUCACAAAACUCAGGCAGAUGUCAGCCCAGCUGGUCUCCAAUGUGUGGCCCAGCCACCCUGUCAGUCUUCCAUACAUGCUUACCAGGUUGAGGCCCUUGUUACUGCCCAAGGAAUGCUCCUGACAUUGGGCCAAGUGCAUCUCCCCAGCCCCGAAGUCGUCCCUACCACUGUGAUGAGUGGACACAGGCCCCUGAUGGGUGGGCCACCCCCGCCAGGCCUUGUCUUUGAGAAGGAGCUGUUAGGAUUGCUGCUGCAAACCCGGAAAGAUACAAGUGGAGAAGCAUGUUUCUACAUCCUUAGCUGUCCAUUCUGUGACCUGGAAGUCCCCUAAAUUGAGGGCUUAGCUCUUCCCUACAGCUUCAUUGUUUGACCCCCUUUGUGUGGCUACGGUGUCUGCCACUGACCUUGGCCUUUAACCUUGGGAAACUGACCCAGCGGAAGUAGACCCAGAAAGUUGUGCUUGAUCUACUCUGGGCCUAUCACCUUGCUCUAUGAUGGUCAGUUUCAUUGGCAGCAUAGAUUUUUUAAACAGUUCUCCCUUGUGUUUUAGGUAGCGACAAGAGGCUCCUGGGUGGUAGAAAGUAGGGCCCCCCACAGCUUCCCUGAGAACUGAGUGUCCCCAUGCCCUGGGCCCCAGGGUGUAUCUUCAUGGGACAGAGGAGACAACUGGAGUGGAAAAAAAAAAAAGUCCUGAAAAUGCCUUGGAUCCCAACCAGCCAGAAGAUGCGCCAAUGGAAAAUUCCUGCUGUGUGUCAGAGGCCCACCUGGCCCGGGUGACAGCCAGCCAGACGCACAGGCCCCAAAGCAUGUUUAGACAGCACUUUCCUGCCCUGGCCAGAGUUUCCCCUGGCCCUCACCAACGCUUCUCCUGGAAAGUGGGCUGGGCUGCUCAUCUGGGUCCAGAAAAGCUGUGUGUGUCUCAGGUUCCAGGUUCUAGGAGAGACACAGUGAGCUUUGAUAGGAGGACUGGGCAGGAGGAGGCUUGGGCCCAGCCCCUGUCUGCCUGAGCCUGUCGGUGGGACCCAGAAGUAGCUGCAGCCCCUCUGUGGGUCUUGGACUCCCCAUUUGGGUAGCACAUGGGUAGACAGGGCCAACCUCACCAGUCUUGACAUCCUUCUGGAGAAGAUCUAUGGGCUCUAAGGGACUCCGCUCCUUCAGGAGAGGUCAGACAGAUCCAGAGCCUUCGGUCAUCCAGAAAUCUUUCUUGCCCCUGGGGACCAGGCCUAAUAUCACAUUGUUAAUCCUUGAAAUCCUAGGACGUGGGCUAGGAAUGUGGCUCGGUGGCAGAGGGCUUGCUAAGCAUGCAUGAGGCCCUAGGUUCAAUCCUCAGCAUUGCAAAUACAAUAAAAUUAAACUAAAGGAAGAGAGAAAUUCUAGGAUGCUCCAGAAUCAGAGUCAGCCGUGCUGGGUGUGUGCAGGUUCUGAGAAGCAACUGACACCUUCUGGCCAUGUCACAGAGCAGGACAUGGCUUCAUGGUGCCCUGGGCCCUGCGGCAGGGCCCUUCUGCUAUGCUGCUUGAGUAUCAGGAGGGGGAGGUUGAGCCUUGAGUGUCCUGAUGGCGUGGGAUGGGAAGCAGCUUAAUCCGAAUGGAUCUGAUCUGAGUGGAAAGAUGUUGAAAAUUGUCAUUUGGUGACUGACUUACUUUCUCAGUGCACAGCUGCGGUCUCAUGGCUCAGUUUGCAUCCUGGGAAGCAGGAUUCCAGCCGCCCCAGGAAGGGUUCUGGUUUCUGGUUUCUGCUGAGCUUAAGCUCAGGGAAUGAGGUGGAAGCAAGGGACUGUUUUGCAAUGCAGAGUUAGGAGGCUGGGGACAGAAGCCGAGGACACUUCUGUCUGCCUUUGGCUACAGACCCUUUGGCAAAAGGAGGUGGGGCAAGAACCCCAGUUUAUGGCACAAAACGCAGCCACGUUGGUUGGACCUACAAAGGAAUUGUGGGUGUUGGUCUCUGGCUUUAACACGUGAGACCACUGAGGCCUGAUGGGAGGGAUACAAAAACUUACAUUUCAGGUCCAAGUCCAUUUCCCUAAGAGCCCAGGCAGUGCCCCUCAGCCUCAGGGAAAGAAGAGAAGGACAUGGCGCUCGCUGGCAACAGACAGGCUUGGUUCUGUCCUGGCCCUGUCUGAACCGGCUGCAAAUUGGGCCUGUCUGAAAGUCAGUUUUUAUGAAUCAAGUGGGCACAAUGAAGGGUGCCCUAGAACCGGCUCAUUCCAGCUCCGAAAACCACCUGUGUGCGUUGCUUCCCAGCCUGUAUUCAGUAGCUCAGAAUGGGCCAGGGCAGAACUGUGGUCACCCCAGAGAUGGACAAGCCCUGCAAAGCGAACCUCUCCUCCCUGUGGGCUGGCUGCCAAGCACUGACCAGUGAGCACACCCCUCGAAAUGGUUCUUUCUUUAUAAGACUAAGCGCUGAGUUCUAUAAAGCAUGGAAAGUUCUUACUGUGAUGCCUAGUCUGAGGCAGAGGGUCACGCACCAUCACCAAGAAUAACGUUUUUAGGUUUCCUGCAACUUUAUUAUGUUUUAGUCCUGUAUUCACUUUGGAAACUAACUUGGGCAAGACUUGUUUUCCUCUGUCGCAUGGAUGCAGACCGUCAGUCCCAGAGGAGAACUGUGAGACUGAGCAUGCAGCAGAGCCGUGGGGAGACAGGGUCUGAGCUUGUGUCCAUGUGAGGCUCUGUCUGGGCUCUGGCAGCCUCUCUCCCCCAGAGCAGGUGACCUGUAGUCUGAGAAAUUGGAAGAUCCUAGUGCCUCAAGUAAUAGUAGGGACUUUAUGUCAGUGGUGCAAGCCUCUCCUGUUCCAGAUGACAUGGUGGCCUGGGAAGGUCACUCAAGGUCACAAGUCAAUUAUGUUGCCAAGAUAGACUUUGGGUUGUAGCUCUCUGGGUGCUCCAUCAACAUCUCUCUCCUCUGGACCGAACUACCACUAGAGCCCUGAACAGGAGUGAGAUUGUCCUACCCAGACAAUGUGGCUACUGCCAGUGGGAAGGGGAGGGGACUGCUUACGGAAGGUCACCACGUGUCCACCCUAGGAGGACCCAAAUAUAAAUAAUGCAAACUUCUCUGUUGCCUCACCAAGCUGUGUAAUGCUUUCUUGUAAGUCACCGACAUUUUGUCAAUCAGGAAACACUGAGACGGUCCUGGGGCGGAUCUUUGGACCUCUUUGGGCCUCUGUGGACAAAAGACCUCUGAGACGAUGGGCCAAGGCUAGACCCAACUUUAUAAUCUCUAAGAACUCCUCUCCAUGAUCCUUCCUUCCCUCCUUUCUGCCCCCAACGUUUCUCUAGAGAAUCUCCUUGGUCUACUAGAAGCUACUUUGCUGCAAAUUCCAGAAAUGCUUUGACAUUUCCGUUCUUGGGCGCCGCUUAACCAGUGGUUGAGGGUGUGGGAAAGCUGGGUGACCUCCGGGAUCCUGCAGGCGGGGCAUUUGCUUAUGUACUCAUCUGUUGAUGGGCAUACGGGCUGCUUCCAGGAUUUAGCUGUUAUGGAUUGUGCUGCUGAAAACAUUAUGUGUGUAUCACUGUCGUAUCACGUCUUGAACUCUUUGGGGAAGAUGCCAGUUUUAAUUCUUUGAGAAAUCUCCGUACUCAUUUCCACAGUGGUUGCACUCAUUUACAUUCCCACCAGCAGCGCAGGAGGGAUCCUGUCUCCCAUGGUUACACCAGCAUUUGCUAUUGUCUGGUCUCCCAAUGGUUGUCAAUUUCUCCAGAGUAAGGUGAAAUUCUAGGGUGGUUUUAAUUUGCAUCUCUCUAAUGAUCAGAGACACUAACUAUUUUUUUUCAUAUAUUUUUUGGCCAUUUGUAUUUUUUCCUCUGUGUCUGUUCAUUUCUCUGAUCUAUUUCUUGGUUGAGUCUUUAACGUUAGGUGGCUUGAUUUUUAUGAGUUCUUUGUAUAUUCUAGAUUAAUAGUCCUCUGUCUGAGCAGUGGCUGGCAAAAUUUUUUCCCACUCUGUAGGUUUUCUCUUCACCCUGCUGAUUGAAUCUUUUGCCAUAUAGAAACUUUUUAGCUGGUACAAUAAUGCCAUAUGUUGAUUCUUGCUGCUAUUUCCUGUGUGAUUAAGAUUCUGUUUAGAAAAUCUUUUCCUCCUCUGAUGUCAAGUGUUUACCCAUUCUGUUUUCCGGAAGGUUUAAUGUUUCUGUCUUAAUGUUUAGAUCUUUGAUCUCUUUUGAUUUUAAUUUAAUAUAUGAUGAGAGAUAAAGGUCCAAUUUCAUUCUUUUACAAAUGGAUAAUCCGUGCCACUUGUUGAAUUUUCUCAAUGCUAUCUUUGCUCCAACAUAUGCCUGGAUCCUUUGUCAAAGAUCACAUAGUUGAAUGUGUCUGGGGAAAUUUUUACCUCCUCUCUUCUGUUCCAUUGAUCCAUGUGUCUGUUUUUGUUCCAGUACCAUGCCAUUUUUAUCACUGUUGCCCAAAAAAUAUUCUGGGGAAGGACGUCUCUCAAUUCCCACAAUGACCUUGUGAAAUACAAAUGAUCAUCCCCAUGUUACAGACAAGUCAGGAGUUUUAAAGAAGCUUAAUGGCUUGUCCAGGGGGAUAAAGACCACCCUGAAACAGCUAGAGCUGUAAAUUUUGCUCUGUGACUAUAAACCAAGCUUAGGCUUUUAAACCAAACUAUGUAUUUGCCAUUUCUGAAAUAUCUCAGGAUUAUUAAAAAUUAAUUUUUUAUUUGAGGAAUUUUUUGUACCUUCUCAGUACUGGAGAAGCUCUCUUUUUGCAAAGAAAUUAGCCCCCCGCCCCACACCACCACAAUCCCACCCUGAAAUGACCUUUUGAGCCCCUCUGGUCCCCAGAUUUCUGAUGGCUCUUUCUCAUGUUUCCAUUCUCUCUUCCCCGGAAUCCUUUAGGCAGCCCACAGUGGGCUGUUGGUCUGGUCCAAAGCUCCAAAAGGUUCUCCAUUACUGCUUUAGGCUAGGACUUUAUUUUAUUCUUUGCUUCCCUAGCACCUAACCUGAGCCAACUGGAAGCCAGCAAUACGUCAAUGUUUGUUGGGCAAAAGAAAGGGGGGAUGAAGAAGGAGAGAAAUAGGAGGGAAGAGGAGGAAGGGGGAGACGCGGAAGUGAGGAGGAAGAUAUUCUGGACCAAGGGAACAGAGGGCCAAACCCCUGUGGACAGGGGCAGCCGUGGUGGAGGGGUGGCCGCUGCAGUCAGGGCGGGACACACAGGUCCUCCCGUGUGGUGGCCUCGGGACAUCUCUGACCAGUUGUUCUUUUUGCUCUGGGUCAUGUUGUGGGUAGAACUAGGAUGUAUCCUGGUACCCAGCAGCCAGCUGGUACCUAGCAGGGGCUUGAUAAGGGCUGAGUGGAUGACAAGUGACAAUGGAGUAUGAAAAGGAGUCCCGGUGGCCCCUCCCCAGCCUCCCCCCUCUUCUCCCCUGGGUUCAGGCAUCACCUGUGUCCUCGAGCAUCAUUUCUCUUGAGGCUGCUGCUUGAAUGAGCUUCUGCAAAAGGACCCGCCAUGUCUCUCCGCUCCUGGUUUAACCAAUCUGGCUGUUUACACAGUAAACUCAGUCUCCAUGGUUCAGCGUAGGAGGCUCUUCCUGAGUGUGGAGUGAUAAGAAGAUGGAUGGGCUGAAGGACCAGAUUGCCUGGGCGAGAGGCCCAUCUGCAUUACUCGCUGGCCAUUUGGCCUUGAGAAGCUCACAGAGCCUCUCCUUAACUAUGUUGUCUCACUUGUAAAAUGGGGAGGAUGGCAGUCGUUACGUAACUGGGAUGCUGUAAAGAUUCAGUCAGUUAGCACUGGGGAGAGUUUUGGGCUCACCCAUUACUCAUCAAGUGAAUGUUUCUCUAGCUGAGUCUGUUACCAUUCCUGCACCACCUCUGACACCUCGUGUCACCCCAAGUCCUCUCAUGCCUGGACAUCUUGGUUCAUGCCAUGCUUCUUGGAACACACUGUCCCCACCACCGUCACUGACAAAAUCAUAGUAAUCUUCCAAAUCCCAGCUCCCUCUGUGUCUGUGAAGGUGUUUCUGAUUCUCCCAGGAUGCACUGGGGGCUCUCUCCUGGGACCUCUGGAUUGGGCACUUAGGCAAUACCCUUCCUCUGUUGAAAUUGCCCGUUGACAAGUCUGUGUGUGAUCAAACUCCAGCCUCUUCCCAAGCUCUUUAGCCAAUUCCCAAUACAGAUGACUCCUGGUGAGGAUCCAAUAUUGUAGAGACAUAAAUUCUUCUAAAAUUAAUCUAUAAAUUCAGCAAAAUCCCAAUAAAAACUUAACAAGAGUUCUAAAAAUAUAAUUUUAUAAGCUAAUUCUAAAAGUCAUGUGGAACGGGGCAAUGGAGAAGGAUAGUAAAGCAAAUCUUAAUACAGUUAGGAAAAUGAGAGAAAACAGUCCUACAAAUAUGCACUGACUACAAAGCGAUCAGUACAGGAUGAUUGUGUAAAAAUGGAUGAUCAGUGGAAUACAGUUACAAAAGAACAGGUUUGUGGAAUCUAUGCUUGGUCCUCUCUGAAACUCAUGCUGAAAUUUACCACUGUGGCAGUGUUGGGAGGUGGAGCAUUUGGGAGGUGAUUAGGUCAUCAGCAAAUAUUAACAUAUCUGGAUUAGAUAUCCAGAGAGGGCUGCUAUCACACGAGGCCCAUCAGUGUGUUCUUCCUCUUCAGCACAUACCUGCUUCCCUUUCUGACUUCUGCCAUGGCCUAAAGCAAUCUGGGGCCCUCAGUGGCAGCCGAGGUGCUAACAUCAUGCUCAGGGAGGUCUCAACCUCCAGAUAAAACCCUUUUCUUCCCAAAUUACAAUCUCGGGUAUUCUGUUACAGCAACGGAAAACACUCAGUAUGCACGCAGUCAGAAUUGUGGGGAGUGUGGAAGAGAAAGUGUUUAGGUUGGGCUUUAGAACAACUUCCAAAGUCAUAGCACAGGACUGAGCCACUGGAGGAGAUGCUGGUGCCUGCACUGCAGUCUGCAAGCCCCCGGAGAAGAGGAGGGAGCCGUGAUACUGUUCUGGAAUCACAGCACCCCAGUCUGGAUCUGUGCUGGUGGAAUCGGGGCUGCGCUGCCUUGGUCUCCUCAGAACUCCCAGCCUGAUGUGAGCUGUAACCACUUUAAUCCUGCAGGAAGCAGACACCACCAUGGAGUCAACUGGGCAAGAUGUGUGGAAGGAUAAUGCAUGUAAGAGAAAUAUAAAGAGGAAAGGUAUCAAAAAAAAACAAAACAAAACAAAACAAAACAAAACCGGAAGCUUUCCAGUGGUGACAAAGCUCUGAUACCUGUGAAAGGCAAAAGAAAAUGAAAGAAUGUGGGGUAGAAAACAGGAAGAGGGAAGAAAUGGCCAGGCACUGCUUUUAACUCUAUGCUCAGUCAUGGUGCUAAAGGCAUCUGAACGGGAAAUUACCGUCACAUCUAGAAUCUUAGCUUCAAGGAUGUCUGCUGUACAGGAAGAUGUACCAGGUAGACAUUGGUAAGAAUAUUGUUUUAUUUAUUUGUUUGGUACCUCACACUUGCCAGGCAGGUUCUUAUGCCACUGAGCUAAACCCCUGGCCCUCAUGUGAAUAUUGAUUGGACAAUACGUUGUAUCUAACUGCCACAGAUCCCUACCUUACAUCAUAUUCAAAAUAAAUUUCAUAUGGAUUAAAUAGUCCCAGGUGAACACAGAAAAACCUUUGCAAGGAUUAGAAGAACAGUAAGAAAACUCAGGGACAUAUUCAUAUAACCUUAGAGAAAGAUAAGGCCUUCUAUAAAAUGGCACAAAGUCUAGCAAGUAUAAAGACAUAUUUUAAAGUAUUUUAUUGAUUGUAAUGUUUUAAGAAGGUAAUUAAUGUUACCCUGCUCAGUGAUGAGCAACUAGAUGGUCUCCUCCAAAAAUCAGGAAUUAAAAAAAAGAUUUUGUUUCUCAUUGGUCAUGUUUUUAGCCAUCCUGAAAGCCCUGGCUAAUGCAGUAGGACAAGAAAAGGAAAUAAAAUGUAUACAGACCAAGAAAGAGAAAAUGACACUCUUCAUUUGUAGAUAAUAUGGUUAUUUAUGUAGCGAAUUCUCACAAAUCAACAAGAAACAAUAAGAAGGAAUAAAAAGUAGCAAAGUGCAGGACACAAGGUGAGCAUACAAAUUCAAUUGCUUUUCUGUAAACCAGCAACAAUAAAAUUUAACACUGAAACCACAACACCAUUUAGGAGAGAGAGAUUGGAGGUUGGCUUAGGUACAAAUCUAACAGCAUAUGUGUAAGCUCUAUAUGAAGAAAAUCACAGCACUCUGUUGAAGGAAAAUCUGUAAACACAAUAUUCCAUGUUGUGGAAGGAAGAUUUAAUGGUGUCUAGACAUCAGUUUUUCCCAUCUGAUGAACAGAUUCUGUAGAACAGCAAUCAGAAUCCCAGCAAAUCAUUUUGUGGAUUUCAACAAACUGAUUGUAAAACCCCCUAAAAUAACCAAUACAAUACUGAAGAACAAGGACAGAGGACUGACCCUGACUCCGGCGAUCAACGCAGUAUCAUACUGAUGAAAGAAAAACAGACAAAUAAGUUAAUGGAAUAGAAAAGAGAGCCUGGAAACAGACCCUCACCCACAGUCACGUGACCUCUGACAAAGGACAAAGGUAAUUCCAAGUCUGUGAAAAACACUGUUAUGAAAAGGAAGAGACAAGUUACAGCCCGAGAGAAAAUCUUUUCAAAAUACAUAUAGGAUUUAAACAUGUAUAUCUUAAAUAUAUGAAUGAGUCUCAAAAGACUGGGGUUGUAGACGGGUCCUAGAGCCCUUGCCUAGCAGCCAUGAGGGUCUGAGUUCCACCUCGCUAUUAAAAUGUCCCGGUACCACUUUAAAAAUAGCACAAAUAUCUGAAUAAACAAACAAAAAAAGAUACAGAGGUUACAAAUAGGUAUACAGAAAGUACUUGGCAUCGUACGUCACUAGGCAAUUGCACACUAAAUUAGUGAUGGCACUGGUGCACUCUUCAAGGAGCUGAAAUUCUAAAUGCUGGCAAUAGCACAUGGUGGCAGGAGAUGGGCGUCAGGAGCUGUCACGCACUGUGGAAACGCACGUGGCACUGUAGAAGAUGGUUCCUACGAAGUGACAUGUUCAGGUGACCCUACACAUGGGCUGAGCCCGUGAUCUAACAAUCGUACUCUUAGGCAUUUGUCCAAGUGAUCUGAAAGCUUUGCUCAUGCAAAAACCCAACACAAAUGUCACAGCAGCUUCUUAAUUGCUGACAAUUGGAAGCAACUAAGAUAUUCUACCAUAAGUGAGUGAAUAAACAACCAGGGGGUGUAGGAACAAUGGAAAUUACACAUCAAUAGAAGGAAAGAUGCCACCAAGCCCCAAGAAAUCACGGAAGAAACUCGGGUGUGUGCCAAGUGAAACAGCCUGUCUGGAAAAGGCUACAUGCCCAUGACUCGCACGAUAGGUCAGUGCGGACAGGGAGAAGCUAGAGGAACGUGAGGGUCAGUGCUUUGCGGGGAGUGAAACGGCUGACCAAACGGAGCACAGGGUGUUUUUAGGGUGACAGAGCUAUUCUGUAGGAUACCUUAAUGGCAGAUACAUAUUUGUCAAUACCCACAUAAUCAUACAACACAGAAAAUGAACCCUAACAUAAAUCAUGGGUUAUAAUUAAUAACAAUAUAUUGAUACUGGUUCAUUAAUGUAACAAAUCGAUCACAAUAAUGCAAGAUUUUAAAAGUAAGGGAAAAUAUGUGGGGGCUAUGUGGGGGCUACAAGGGACAGAUGGAAACUAUACUUUUCUGCUGUAAGAGAGAAUCUGAUACCACUUUAAUAACGGCUGUUAAAACAACAGUAAUUAACAUAUUUAGAUGUAAUUAGAAAUGAUACUAACAGAGUAACCACUCAUUCUGGUUUUCUCAGGACACUUCUAGGUAAUAUUUGUUACUCUGGAAUCCCAUCUGGAUUACUAUUUGCCACUCUCAAAAGUAUAUUGGGUUGGAUGAUAAAUUACGUGGUCAUACUGGAGAAAAAGAUAUUUGUGCUGUUAUAUAAAGAAGUCCUAUAGAGAAAAAGAAAAAAGGUAAACCAGAAAAAAAUAGGCAAUGUAUAUAAAUAAGUCUCAGCAUUUAGCCUACUUAUAACUAUGACUAAAGGGAGGUUUUCUGGGGUUUUUUGGUAAGAAAUGUAUCGUCAGAUCAGUUUAAAGAAAACAUUCAAUCUAUGGCUUCUAAUUGAGGGGUUUAGACAAUUUACAUUUAAUUUUUCAUUCCAGUGCUUGGAGUAGCUAGAUUAAUGUAGUUCAAAGCAGAUUUCAGAGUAAGGAAUAUUUCUAAAGAUAAAGAAGCUCACUUCAUAAAGGAUCCGAUUCAAGAGAACAUCGUGAUACAAAUGUACUGUGGCAGACAUACAGACAAACAAUGGGAAGACAUAGACCAACCUAUGAUCACAGUCACGGACUGCAAACCUUCAUGUUCUUAUCUCAUAAUUUUCUAUUCUUGUUAAAUGUUUCUAUUCUUUUAUCUCUUUAAAUGCUUGAUUAAAUGGAAAGCCUUUUUCA